rnacentral:rRNA from 1 species
CCUACGGGAGGCAGCAGUGAGGAAUAUUGGUCAAUGGACGAGAGUCUGAACCAGCCAAGUAGCGUGAAGGAUGACUGCCCUAUGGGUUGUAAACUUCUUUUAUAUGGGAAUAAAACAGGGUAUGCAUACCCCCUUGUAUGUACCAUAUGAAUAAAGAUCGGCUAACUCCGUGCAAGCAGCCGCGGUAAUACGGAGGAUCCGAGCGUUAUCCGGAUUUAUUGGGUUUAAAGGGAGCGUAGGUGGAUUGUUAAGUCAGUUGUGAAAGUUUGCGGCUCAAACGUCAAACUGCAGUUGAAACUGGCAUUCUUGAGUACAGUAGAGGUAGGCGGAAUUCGUGGUGUAGCGGUGAAAUGCUUAGAUAUCACGAAGAACUCCGAUUGCGAAGGCAGCUCACUGGACUGCAACUGACACUGAUGCACGAAAGUGUGGGUAUCAAACAGGAUUAGAUACCCGAGUAGUC